AGUGAACGCUGGCGGUAGGCCUAACACAUGCAAGUCGAACGGCAGCACAGUAAGAGCUUGCUCUUACGGGUGGCGAGUGGCGGACGUGUGAGGAAUACAUCGGAAUCUACUUUUUCGUGGGGGAUAACGUAGGGAAACUUACUCUAAUACCGCAUACGACCUACGGGUGAAAGCAGGGGAUCUUCGGACCUUGCGCGAUUGAAUGAGCCGAUGUCGGAUUAGCUAGUUGGCGGGGUAAAGGCCCACCAAGGCGACGAUCCGUAGCUGGUCUGAGAGGAUGAUCAGCCACACUGGAACUGAGACACGGUCCAGACGCCUACGGGAGGCAGCAGUGGGGAAUAGUGGACAAUGGGCGCAAGCCUGAUCCAGCCAUACCGCGUGGGUGAAGAAGGCCUUCGGGUUGUAAAGCCCUUUUGUUGGGAAAGAAAAGCAGCAGGUUAAUACCCCGCUGUUCUGACGGUACCCAAAGAAUAAGCACCGGCUAACUUCGUG
rnacentral:rRNA from 1 species